AUGGGCUUGGUGGCAGUGACAUGGAUGAAUUGUCUAAGAAGGCAUCUUCUGCCAAAAACAAGGUUUCUUCACACCUUGAAAGGUCCUCAAUCAGACCAAAUUUUAAUGUCUCCUGCUCUUGUAACUCUGGACCUUCCUGACAUCUGGACUCCUAUUUCUUCAUGUGAGAGUAUUCCGACCAUACAUAAAAGCGUUAAUGAGCAAACUGCUAGGGUUCUUGAUGGAAAGUUGAUGUCAGCAGAAAUCAGAUCUAAAAUAGCUGGUCAGAUGCUGAUGUUCAAAAUGCUGUCAUGA